UUCAGCGGCCUCUCGUCCUGCCCGAGCCCACGUGCAGCUGCGACCCCCUCCAUUGAGGGGCUUUGAGGAAGUUCGCUACUCCAGGCUGCGGAUGGAUCACCAA
rnacentral:lncRNA from 1 species